GGAAAGACUAGGAGAGGGUUUGGGAGAAUCGAGGAGUCAUCGCGAAGAUUCGUCCAGAGUCGAGGGAAGCUGACUUCUUGAAGAAACUUGGCAGAAAUUUAGGAAUCGUUAGAGAACGGUAAGUGAACUUCUAUGGCUCAAAUCUCAUUCUAUGUUGAGGCUAAAAUAACGAAAAAAAAAAAUACCAAGAUGUAGCCCUCAACACGAUCUUGAACUUUGCCGAAGGAACCAAAUCAAUCCGAGCUCCGGUCAAAAGAUAUGAAAAUCG